UUAGAGUUUGAUCCUGGCUCAGGACGAACGCUGGCGGCGUGCCUAAUACAUGCAAGUCGAGCGGACUUGCUGGAGCUUGCUCCAGCAGGUUAGCGGCGGACGGGUGAGUAACACGUGGGCAACCUGCCUGUAAGACUGGGAUAACUCCGGGAAACCGGAGCUAAUACCGGAUAGUAUCUUGAACCGCAUGGUUCAAGUUGGAAAGACGGUUUCGGCUGUCACUUACAGAUGGGCCCGCGGCGCAUUAGCUAGUUGGUGAGGUAAUGGCUCACCAAGGCAACGAUGCGUAGCCGACCUGAGAGGGUGAUCGGCCACACUGGGACUGAGACACGGCCCAGACUCCUACGGGAGGCAGCAGUAGGGAAUCUUCCGCAAUGGACGAAAGUCUGACGGAGCAACGCCGCGUGAGUGAUGAAGGUUUUCGGAUCGUAAAACUCUGUUGUCAGGGAAGAACAAGUGCGAGAGUAACUGCUCGCACCU
rnacentral:rRNA from 1 species